GGACUACCCGGGUAUCUAAUCCCGUUCGCUCCCCUGGCUUUCGCACCUGAGCGUCAGGUACUCCCCAGGACACUGCCUUCGCCUUUGGUGUUCCUCCGGAUCUCUACGCAUUUCACCACUCCACCCGGAAUUCCGUGUCCCUCUGAAGCCCUCAAGUCUGUCAGUUUUCGAAGCACUUUCCCAGUUGAGCCAGGAACUGUCACUCCAAACUUAGCAGACCGCCUGCGUGCGCUUUACGCCCAGUAACUCCGGACAACGCUUGCCCCCUACGUAUUACCGCGGCGGCUGGCAC
rnacentral:rRNA from 1 species